CAGCAGCCGCGGUAAUACGAAGGGGGCUAGCGUUGUUCGGAUUUACUGGGCGUAAAGCGCACGUAGGCGGACUUUUAAGUCAGGGGUGAAAUCCCGGGGCUCAACCCCGGAACUGCCUUUGAUACUGGAAGUCUUGAGUAUGGUAGAGGUAUGUGGAACUCCGAGUGUAGAGGUGAAAUUCGUAGAUAUUCGGAAGAACACCAGUGGCGAAGGCGACAUACUGGAUCAUUACUGACGCUGAGGCUCGAAAGCGUGGGGAGCAAACAGGAUUAGAUACCCCUGUAGUCCCUGUCUCUUAUAC
rnacentral:rRNA from 1 species